UCCAGGAUCAACAUACAGUAAACAUUACUCCAGGAACAUGUCCUACUUUAACUCCUUCUCACCGAAGCUACUUAGGGCUUAGCCUGGUCAGUACCUGGAUGGGAGACCACAGGGAACAACUAGGUUGCUUUUGGAU
rnacentral:rRNA from 1 species